rnacentral:rRNA from 1 species
AUGAAACGCCCUGUGCGUGUGCACGAUGUCCAGAAGCUUACUGGUUGUUUGGCCGCCUUAAGUCGAUUCAUUUCUCGCCUCGGUGAAAAGGCAUUGCCUCUUUACCGACUGAUGAAAAAGUCUGAUAAGUACGAGUGGACUCCUGAAGAUGAUGCAGCAUUUCUAGAGCUCAAAGCCCUGCUUUCCACCCAGCCGGUGCUUGCUGCCCCAAUCAGCAAAGAGCCUUUACUGCUUUACAUUGCAGCCACUGGACAAGUUGUCAGUACUGUACUUACGGUCGAGCGGGAAGAAGAAGGAAAAGCCUAUAAGGUUCAGCGCCCAGUAUAUUAUGUUUCUGAUGUUCUGACUCCAUCAAAGCAAAGAUAUCCACAUUAUCAGAAGCUUGUUUAUGGGAUUUAUAUGACCACGAAGAAGGUUGCUCACUACUUCUCUGACCACUCCAUUACAGUCGUCAGUGAUGCUCCAUUAUCAGAGAUUCUGAACAAUAGAGAUGCAACUGGUUGA